AUACGGAGGGUGCAAGCGUUGUUCGGAAUCACUGGGCGUAAAGGGCGCGCAGGCGGUUUGGUAAGUCAGAUGUGAAAGCCCAUGGCUCAACCAUGGAAGUGCAUUUGAAACUGUCAGACUUGAGUACUAGAGGGGAAAGUGGAAUUCCCGGUGUAGAGGUGAAAUUCGUAGAUAUCGGGAGGAAUACCGGUGGCGAAGGCGACUUUCUGGCCAGAUACUGACGCUGAGGCGCGAAAGCGUGGGGAGCAAACAGGAUUAGAUACCCUAGUAGUCC
rnacentral:rRNA from 1 species